rnacentral:rRNA from 1 species
UACGUAGGGUGCGAGCGUUGUCCGGAAUUAUUGGGCGUAAAGAGCUUGUAGGCGGUUUGUCGCGUCUGCCGUGAAAUUUCGAGGCUCAACCUCGAACUUGCGGUGGGUAUGGGCAGACUAGAGUGUGGUAGGGGAGACUGGAAUUCCUGGUGUAGCGGUGAAAUGCGCAGAUAUCAGGAGGAACACCGAUGGCGAAGGCAGGUCUCUGGGCCACUACUGACGCUGAGAAGCGGAAAGCAUGGGGGAGCGAACAGG